GCGGCUUUCGUCUCUAUGACCCCAGGAGGCGGUCCCCGGUGUCUUGCGCAGCGCGCGCGAAGGGGGCGCGCGUCAGUUCCGCGCGGUGCUGUCGGGGAACCAUGGCUCCUCAGAGAGAAAAUGUCAAUUUAUUAUUCAAGUUAUACUGCUUGGCAGUGAUGACCCUGGUGGCUGCAACUUACACCAUAGCUUUAAGAUACACAAGGACAUCAGACAAAGAACUCUACUUUUCAACCACAGCCGUGUGUAUCACAGAAGUUAUAAAGUUAUUGCUAAGUGUGGGAAUUUUAGCUAAAGAAACUGGUAAUCUGGGUAGAUUCAAGGCAUCUUUAAGAGAAAAUGUCUUGGGGAGCCCCAAGGAACUGAUGAAGUUGUGCGUGCCUUCCUUAGUGUAUGCUGUGCAGAACAACAUGGCUUUCCUGGCUCUCAGCAAUCUGGAUGCAGCAGUAUACCAGGUGACGUACCAGCUGAAGAUUCCUUGUACUGCUCUAUGUACUGUUCUAAUGUUAAACAGGACGCUCAGCAGGUUACAGUGGAUUUCAGUUUUUAUGCUGUGUGGAGGAGUCGUCCUCGUACAGUGGAGACCAGCCCAGGCCACAGGCGUCGUGGUGGAACAAAAUCCAUUAUUAGGGUUUGGUGCUAUAGCUGUUGCUGUAUUGUGCUCAGGAUUUGCAGGAGUGUAUUUUGAAAAAGUUUUAAAGAGUUCAGACACUUCCCUUUGGGUGAGAAACAUUCAAAUGUAUCUAUCAGGGAUUGUUGUGACAUUAGUUGGCGUCUACUGGUCAGAUGGAGCUGAAAUUAAAGAAAAAGGAUUUUUCUAUGGUUACACAUAUUAUGUCUGGCUUGUCAUCUUUCUUGCUAGUGUUGGAGGCCUCUACACUUCUGUUGUGGUCAAGUACACAGACAACAUCAUGAAAGGCUUUUCUGCAGCAGCAGCCAUUGUCCUUUCUACCAUUGCUUCAGUGAUGCUGUUUGGAUUACAGAUAAGUAUGUCUUAGUUUGUACUGUAAGUUUUUAACAUGGAAGAGCUUCUCACUUCCUUGGUUCAUUUCAUCUUUCAUUAAGUAUGGCAGUUGCUUGUAGAGUUUACAGAAAUUCCUAGUUUUGUUACAAUUUAUCCUACAGGCGCAGCAGUUCAUAGUUGUGUGGAAUGUGUGUCCACAGUACUUAGGUUGUUUAAAUGGUUCUAGAGCUGAAAGUGAGCGGGCUACUCAGUAGAAAGAGUUUCUGCAGACAAAGCCUCCCUCGUUAAUUUCCGCAGUGGACUUAGAGUAAACUUGGCUUUUUAUUCUGAGGUAAGAACAGAAAACUUCUUUCAUUUCCCCCUUAGUUUGUACCUUCCUGUUUUAGACUUGGAUAUAAACUGGUUUUGAAACUACAAUCCAAAUCUAAAUUUUCUCUUUAAUAAAGCUAUUUGUUUCAUUUAGUAUGUAAUUAAUACAAAAUUCAUUACUAUAGCUGGCAUUCUAGGACCGCCUUUAUGCUGGUCCUUCUAAUAUAAUUUUCCCUAGCCAUAUCCACCAUUAGUUGGCUUCUGAAUUAUUUAAGCAGUGAUAUUGACUUAAUAUUUCCUGGUGUUUUUAUGGUGUGAUAAUUUUCUUUACUGAUCAGUUAUACCAUAAACUAAUACAUGAGAAAAAUCUGUCAAAUAUCAACAUUAAGUAAAAGAAACAGAUCUGGCCUAUAUUUACAAUUGACUUGUUAUAAAUGCAAAUAGAAGAAUACCAACCUUGUAGAAAUCUUAGAAAAAAAUUUGAUAGUUUGGUUCAAAUCUUGCUUGUACCAUUUAUUAGUUGUAAAACCUUGGGGAAGUUACUUAACCCAUGUCUCAGUUUCUUUGUCUGUAAAAUGGGAAUGAUAAUAACAUCUGUCUUGUAGGGUUGUUUUAGGCAAAGUGCUUAGAACAGUGCCUGGCACAAUAGUAGCACUCAGCUUUGCUCUGGGUACUCUUCUUGUAUGUGUUUCUAUAUAUCUCUAUGGAUUACCCAGACAAGACACUACAUCCAUCCAACAAGGAGAACCAACUUCAAAAGAGAG